UCUCUUGAUGCUUGGACAAACCCAUGGAAACUCAGUGACCCAGACGGAGGGCCAAGUGACCCUCUUAGAAGAGGAUUCCCUGACUGUAAACUGUACUUAUUCAACAACGGGGUCCCCCACUCUUUUCUGGUAUGUCCAGUAUCCAGGAGAAGGUCCAGAGUUCCUCCUGAAAGCCUUGAGGGACAAGGAGAAGGGAAGCAAGAAAGGAUUUGAAGCCACCUAUGACAGAGAUUCCAAAUCCUUCCACUUGGAGAAAGGCUCAGUGCAAGCGUCAGAUUCCGCUGUGUAUUACUGUGCCAUGAAUGACACAGUGACGGGGACUGCAGGGGGAGCUGAGCACAAACUCUGA